AACGAACGCUGGCGGCAUGCCUAACACAUGCAAGUCGAACGAGACCUUCGGGUCUAGUGGCGCACGGGUGCGUAACGCGUGGGAACCUGCCCUUAGGUUCGGAAUAACUCCCCGAAAGGGGUGCUAAUACCGGAUAAUGUCUUCGGACCCAAGAUUUAUCGCCUUUGGAUGGGCCCGCGUUGGAUUAGCUAGUUGGUAGGGUAAAAGCCUACCAAGGCGACGAUCCAUAGCUGGUCUGAGAGGAUGAUCAGCCACACUGGGACUGAGACACGGCCCAGACUCCUACGGGAGGCAGCAGUGGGGAAUAUUGGACAAUGGGCGAAAGCCUGAUCCAGCAAUGCCGCGUGAGUGAUGAAGGCCUUAGGGUUGUAAAGCUCUUUUACCCGGGAUGAUAAUGACGGUACCGGGAGAAUAAGCGCCGGCUAACUCCGUG
rnacentral:rRNA from 1 species